GAGUUUGAUCGUGGCUCAGAUUGAACGCUGGCGGCAUGCCUUACACAUGCAAGUCGAACGGCAGCAUGAUCUAGCUUGCUAGAUUGAUGGCGAGUGGCGAACGGGUGAGUAAUACAUCGGAACGUGCCCUGUAGUGGGGGAUAACUAGUCGAAAGAUUAGCUAAUACCGCAUACGACCUGAGGGUGAAAGUGGGGGACCGCAAGGCCUCAUGCUAUAGGAGCGGCCGAUGUCUGAUUAGCUAGUUGGUGGGGUAAAGGCCCACCAAGGCGACGAUCAGUAGCUGGUCUGAGAGGACGAUCAGCCACACUGGGACUGAGACACGGCCCAGACUCCUACGGGAGGCAGCAGUGGGGAAUUUUGGACAAUGGGCGAAAGCCUGAUUCAGCAAUGCCGCGUGUGUGAAGAAGGCCUCGGUU
rnacentral:rRNA from 1 species